rnacentral:rRNA from 1 species
GGGGGGGGGGGGGGGGGGGCCUGGGGGGUGGGGGGGGGGCGGGCAGGCGGGGAGCUUGCGCCUGUGACGGUAGCGGCGGACGGGUGAGUAACGCGUGGGUAACCUCCCUAUAAGACUGGGAUAACUUCGGGAACCCGGAGCUAAUACCGGAUAAUAUAUUGAACCGCAUGGUUCAGUAGUGAAAGACGGUUUUGCUGUCCCUUAUAGAUGGAUCCGCGCCGCAUUAGCUAGUUGGUAAGGUAACGGCUUACCAAGGCAACGAUGCGUAGCCGACCUGAGAGGGUGAUCGGCCACACUGGAACUGAGACACGGUCCAGACUCCUACGGGAGGCAGCAGUAGGGAAUCUUCCGCAAUGGGCGAAAGCCUGACGGAGCAACGCCGCGUGAGUGAUGAAGGUCUUCGGAUCGUAAAACUCUGUUAUUAGGGAAGAACAAAUGUGUAAGUAACUAUGCACGUCUUGACGGUACCUAAUCAGAAAGCCACGGCUAACUACGUG